AAUCAACGCUGGCGGCGUGCCUCAGACAUGCAAGUCGAACGCGAAAUCUCCCUUCGGGGAGAAAGUAGAGUGGCGCACGGGUGAGUAACACGUAGGUAAUUUGCCUUCGGGUGGGGAAUAACAGCCGGAAACGGCUGCUAAUACCGCAUAAUGCAGCGGCUCGACAUCGAGACAGUUGUUAAAGCGGGGAGUCGUAAGACCUCGCGCCUGAAGAGAAGUCCGCGGCAGAUUAGCUAGUUGGUAGGGUAAUGGCCUACCAAGGCGACGAUCUGUAGCCGGCCUGGAGGGGGCGGUCGGCCACACUGACACUGACAUACGGGUCAGACUCCUACGGGAGGCAGCAGUCGGGAAUUUUGGGCAAUGGGCGAAAGCCUGACCCAGCAACGCCGCGUGGAGGAUGAAGGUCUUCGGAUUGUAAACUCCUGUUGCUCGGGACGAAUGGCUCCGACCUAAUACGUCGGAGUGUGACGGUACCGGGUGAGGAACGCCCCGGCUAACUCUGUGCCAGCA
rnacentral:rRNA from 1 species